rnacentral:rRNA from 1 species
GACGUAGGGCGCGAGCGUUGUCCGGAUUUAUUGGGCGUAAAGAGCUCGUAGGCGGCUUGUCGCGUCGAAUGUGAAAUCUCGGGGCUCAACUCCGAGCUUGCAUUCGAUACGGGCAGGCUAGAGUUCGGGUAGGGGAGACUGGAAUUCCUGGUGUAGCGGUGAAAUGCGCAGAUAUCAGGAGGAACACCGGUGGCGAAGGCAGAUCUCUGGGCCGUAACUGACGCUGAGGAGCGAAAGCGUGGGGAGCGAACAGG